GAUCCCGCAUCCAUAGCAACCUCUUUCUCGCUUGAAAUCACAACCUCCUACACGAGGGACUCUCGACGAACGUUCGACGGUGGCCGAUUUCAAACCUUCGAUCGAUUGUCCAUCUCUUCCUAAGUUAGGUAAGGGAUUGUUUUUCCCUAUACAAUGGAUUUCACUUCGUAGGGAUUGUAUCUGAACCCAUUCGUGUUUGGAUUGAUGCCUCGACGUCGGCGAAGUUGUGAACGCUUUGGAUUUUGUGUUUCGUAGAGAUUCCGAGCCUCCAAACUAGUGGGAAAGCUUCGUAUUAAGGUUAGAAACCGAUUCAUAACACUUAAAUUGAGUUCCGGUUUGAUUUUAUUACCUUGCCGAAAUCUGGGAUUCGCUCGCCGGAAUCUGGAAAUUUUCCGGCGAGUAUGAUGAUGCCUGGGUGGAAGACGAUGAUUGAACCAAAACGGUCCUGACCCGUUUCGGUUAAACCGGUUCGAGUUUGGUGCAUAAUUUUGGAAUCGAUCCCUGAACUUUAGACAAAAUGUGAAGUCAGUCAUUGUAAUAGCUAGAAACUCUCUACAGUCCUUUCCUUAGGCCUCCGUAGUCUGAAACUUUUAGAUCUUGAUAGUUUCGGCCUAAUUCACUUCAGUAGUUUUACAAAUCAGCCCUCUUAGCUACGAAUCCUAUCAUUUGGUUCAUUCGACCUUAUAAUCGAUCUUAAUUAAAUUGUGAAACCAAUAACGUUGCUAAUCGAUAUUGAUAAUAUUAAUAUCCUAGUUUUCAUUAAGAUUAGAUAAAUAUUUAGAAUUAUGACUUAAUAAUAGAAUUGGAAAUUGCUUAGUUCAAUUAAGAAUUUAGUUUUCCUUUCUCAUAGAAUAAUUGAAAACUUCUAUCAUCUUAUGGAUAAUAAAAGCCUUAUAUCUAAUUGCCCUCCUUAGAUGUCAUAAUUAAGAUAGCUCUUCUUAAGUUAGGUUCUUACUCCUAUCUCAAUUUUUUUUUGGUCGAAAUGAUUCAUCUUCCCGUCACUUCACAUUUAAAAUGAGAAGUGAUUUCUUUGAUUAUUUCAGUUUCUCAACCUAAUCUUUAUUCUCGUCUUUAGGCUCUUAAAGGCGAUCCAGUUCUAGUGCCUUUCUCAUUUCUUUUCCUCCAUCAGACCUUCACCGCUUGAUUUCCAGGUGGAUUGGUUUAAGGGGGUAAAUUUUUGUUGUGUAUUUAAAUUACGUAUGCAAUGAUUAAUGAACUCCACAUGAUUCAUGAUUAUCCUAAUAAUUAAAUAAUAUUAAGCUUCAUAUGAUCAAAUAGUACACUCAUCCCUAACUAUACCAUCGCCCCUAUUAUGAUUUACGGGUCGAGUUUUGCCCCAUUAUGAUUUAUGGGCCGAAUUUUGGCCUUUAUGAUUUAUGAUACCGUCUGAUGGAUACGUAAUCCCAGACCUCUAUGAUUCUAGCGCUAGGGCGAUGGGCUAGUUAGCGGAGUUAGGAGGCCCCUAGAUAAGAAUAUGAUUAGAAGUAUCUAUGACUUCUUCUGAAUAGAUACAAAGACCCACGAUAUACUUAAAGCCUAUAAAUAGCAUUCCAUGAUUAUGAAUAACUCUUAAUAACAAAACCUUAAGAUUAUGAUAAUGAACACUCAAGACUGACCUCGAGCCACCCACCAGGUCAUGCAGGAGGAGCUAAAGAUCGGCCAGCUUUAGGAGAGUGCGAUUGAUGCCCAUCAUGUCGUAGGACUCAGAGUGAGUGACGAGCCUAGGAGGUCGUGUCGUAGGACUCAAAGUGAGUGACGAGCCUAGGAGGUCGAGUAUUUGCAGUUUUAUGGAGUUAGACUUGAGACUAUUUCUUUCAGACUUUUAUUGUUGGAUUUUACUGUUGGGCGCUCACUUGUUAGGGUUUUAUUUCAUCUUUGACUAUUAUGAGUUUUGUUAGCGAUUAU
rnacentral:lncRNA from 1 species